UUUACAAGAUUACGAAGUGACAAAAUUACACAAAUACAUGAAGUUCCUAAAGUCUAAACCAAUGCUAAACUUCAUCAUUCAUCUUCUUUGCCAAAACUCCAUGGAUCAUCUUCAUGCCUUAACCAAGCUUUCAACCAGACUUGAUAUGCUACUUCGCCAACUCCUGAUCUUCGUGCCCAUUUAA